GUAACAUACAAAAAUUCUCCUCUUAAACUGUUGUUAAUUUUGGAUGAAAAUUGGAAUAGAAAUUAGCAAACGUUCGCCUUGCUUCGUCGGAAAAGUCAGAAACAGAAUGCGUAAUUAGCACGAUUUAUGCAUGAUAUACAACUAAACCGAUCAGCAUAGUUACCAGAAUUAGCUGCACGGUAUUAACCGGUGACCAGCGUUCAUGAACGGCUAUACUCCUAUCUUAAAAAGUCACUACACUACUUAUAUGUUCUAGUUAACAUCUAAAUGUGGAAAAUAUUUAAAUUCUAGUCUUGAAACUUGACUGUGAAUUGUAACCCACGUAACUCGAGAUCAAUCCAGCAUUUAGCAGCAGUCUUCUUAAUCGAUCAUCGUCCCAUUUCUGUUUUUAUUUUAUAACAUGCUGCAAACGGCUCUCUUUCAUUUCGUUUUAUUACAUGCCCAUACCACCUCAGCUUUUCUUCUCCCACCUUCUCUGCAAUGUCUACCACCUCAGAUCUUCUGAUUUCUCCAUUCCAUAAUGUCUCUGAUCUGCUCUUCUUCAUCUCAUUGUUAUUAUGUGUCUAUACCAUCUCUUCCUUGCUUCCAUCAUCUUCUCUGCAAUGUCUACCACCCCAGAUCUUCUUCUGAUCUCUUCAUUCCAUAAUGUUUCUGACUAGCUCUCCUUCAUCUCUUCUUAUUACAUGUCCAUACCAUCUCAACCUAGCUUCCCUCACCUUCUCUGCAAUGUCUACCACCCCACAUCUUCUGAUCUCUUCAUCCCAUAUUGUCUUUCACUGGCUCUCCUUGAUCUCUUAUUACAUGUCCAUACCAUCUCUUCCUUGCUUCCAUCAUCUCCUCUGCAAAGGCAUCAACUUCGCAUCUUCUGAACUUUUCAUUCCAUGUCUCUAACCAGCUCUCCUUCAUCUCUUCUUAUUACGUGUUCACACCAUCUCAGCUUUGUUUCCCUCGUCUUCUCCGCAAUGACUACCAUUCCACAUCUUCUUUCGAUCUCUUCAUUCCAUAAUGUCUCUAAACAGCUCUCCUUCAUCUCCUCUUAUUACAUGUCCAUACCAUCUCCUUAUCUUCUCCGCAAUGUCUCCCAUUCCACAUUUUCUUUUGAUCUCUUCAUUCCAUAAUGUCUCUAACCAGCUCUCCUUCAUCUCUUCUUAUUAUAUGUCCAUACCAUCUCAACCUUGCUUCCCCUCACCUUCUUAGCAAUGUCUACCACUUCACAUCUUCGUCUAAUCUCUUCAUUCCAUAAUGUCUUUGACGACCGGGUCUCCCUCAUUUCGUCUUAUUACCUGUCAAUACCAUCAAAGCUUUGCUUGUCUCAUCUUCUCUGCAAUGUCUACCAUUCCAUAUCUUCUUCUGAUCUCUUCAUUCCAUAAUGUCUUUGAAAGAUACUCUUCCAUCUUGCAUCUUAAUUUUUCAGAACCAAUGAGAGUUAACGUUACAAAGCAAGUUUUCGUCGAAUCAGUUUUGGAAUGUGCGCAUUUCUGCCGAGCCAAACAAACAUGUGAGGCUUUCAAACACAGAAACGUUCAUGACGACGUCAACUGCCAAAUAACCGAA
rnacentral:lncRNA from 1 species